GUCAGGAGCAAAGCUCAAGAUCCAGCCUUUUUCUUUGUCUUGUUUUAGGUUUUUUAUCUUAAUGCCUCUAGGGUUCACGUGCAGAGCGCUCUUAGUUUCAGGUGUAGGAUAUAGUGACUCAAUGAGUCCAUACAUCACCAAAUCCAACCUUUUUUUUUAAGAUUUUAUUUAUUCAUGACACACACACACACACACACACACACACACAGGCAGAGACACAGGAGGAGGGAGAAACAGGCUCCAUGCAGGGAGCCCAGCAUGGGAUUGGAUCCCAGGUCUCCAGGACCACACCCUGGGCCGAAGGGAGACACUUAACCGCUGAGCCAGCCAUCCAGGAGUCCCAGGAAACUUUUAUUUUAAUUAAUUAAUUAAUUAAUUAAUUAUUCAUGAUAGAGAGAGUCAGAGACACAGGCAGAGGGAGAAGAAGGCUCCAUGCCAGGAGCCCGAUGUGGGACUCGAUCCUGAGACUCCAGGAUCGCACCCUGGGCCAAAGGCAGGUGCCAAACCGCUGAGCCACCCAGGGAUCCCCCGAAACUUUUGUUUUUUAUAUAUAUUUUUUUAUUUUUUUAAAGAUUUUAUUUAUUUAUUUUUUAUUUAUUCAUGAGAGACACAGAGUGAGCGAGAGAGAGGCAGAGACACAGGCACAGGGAGAAGCAGGCUCCAUGCAGGGAAGCUGAUGCAGGACUCGAUCCCAGGACCCCAGGAUCAGGCCCUGAGCUGAAGGCGGCACUAAACCACUGAGCCCUCCCCAGGCUGCCCCAGGAAACUUAUUUUUAACAAACGCUUGCGGGCAGCCUUAGCUCUGUAUUCAGUGAUUGUGAUGACGUCUGGUCAUCUGGUGGACUUUUCUAGAAAGAGCCCCAUUUGCUCAUGGGGAUCCCUGAAUGGGACACACAUCUGUCUGAGCAGCGGCUUACACUUCAGUUUCCGGCAGAAAUGCACAUCGUUUGAGCGUUCAAGGUGCACUACCGUGGGGGUUGUGCCCUCGAUGAAGCGGUCACUCCUCGCACGACCGUGGAGCAUAAGGCAGGGGAUGAGCUUGCCUGGCGUGAGUCUGGCCGGUUUCCUCCCCGCAGGAAGUGUCAGAUGAUCUAAUUUGGUGAGUUCCACGAUCGGGCUCCUGAUCGGGCUCCUCCGAGAGGCACGACUUGUGUCCAACGGGCCGAGGCCGAGAAGGCCUUGGCCUGCAGGUUGGUGGCUGGGCUCGGGCCAUGGUGACCUGGCGCCCGCAGGGGGACCGCCACCCAGCGCCCCUGCAGGUGGCCUUGGACGCUGGCUCCGGGUGUCCCGAUCCGCCAUGUAGACUGACCCCCAGCCCUGACGGUCGCUCCCCCUGACCGGUAAUUUCCUGGUCCCUGGAGAGACUUCACGUAAAUUAGUUUUUCUUCUGCUUCCUACUUUUUUCAAGUGGCCAAUCUCUGACAAAACGGCAGUUCCCAUUUUAGAGUUGACUUGAGGUUGCUUUCUAUUUAAUUUUUUUUAAGAUUUAUUUAUUUAUUCAUGUUAGACAUAGAGAGAGAGGCAGAGACCCAGGCCGAGGGAGAAGCAGGUGCCCCGCGGGGAGGGGACUCGAUCUCGGGACCCUGGGGUCAUGACCUGGGUCAAAGGCAGACCCUCAACCGCUGAGCCACCCAGGGGCCCGUUUUCCAUUUAAUUUAAACCUCACAGGAAAAUGGGCGUAAAGACAAUUCACAGGAUGAGCGAUUAUUUCGUUCCUCCUUUUCUAUUUAGCAGCGUGUGAAAAAUCAGUUGUUUCCAAUAUGCAGAAAUACCAAACUGAACAUCCUAAAUAAAAGCUGUUCUAUUUCAGCCUUUCUUCCCUUC
ensembl:lncRNA